UUCAAUUGAAGAGUUUGAUCUUGGCUCAGAUUGAACGCUGGCGGUAUGCUUAACACAUGCAAGUCGAACGGUAACAGGCUCUUCGGAGUGCUGACGAGUGGCGGACGGGUGAGUAAUACGUAGGAAUCUGCCCAGAAGCGGGGGACAACUUGGGGAAACUCAAGCUAAUACCGCAUAAUCCCUACGGGGAAAAGCAGGGGAUCUUCGGACCUUGCGCUUUUGGAUGAGCCUACGUCAGAUUAGCUUGUUGGUAGGGUAAAGGCCUACCAAGGCAACGAUCUGUAGCUGGUCUGAGAGGAUGAUCAGCCACACUGGGACUGAGACACGGCCCAGACUCCU
rnacentral:rRNA from 1 species